AGACAGUUGGUGCGUGUGCAGCGGAAAGGACGGAGGAGGUGUAAGCAGGCAGCGAUGGUGAUGACAAGCGGAGGAAAGGAUUGGUGAGCUCAGAAACUGUGAAAUCACCCAGAGCAGACGAUACAGGAGAAGCGGGGAACUUACCAUUCACUGCCAAGCAGAGACGCCAUCUAUUGUGCCGAGCUCCUGGAGAGAGCAGAGAGAGGAGCAGAUUGUAGCUGAGAGCCGGUGGCCGCCCUCUUGUGAGUCACAGUGAUGCGGAAGGAGGAGAACAUGAAAUCUGUUAACACAGCUGCCAGUGAAGACUACAAAGAAACAAACAAUGACUGUCUAGGGGAUCAGGAGGUUUAUCGAUUCACCGAAUCUGCCUUCACCACCUUGGCUGCAUUUCCGGAUCAGUGAUAUAAUGGU